UUCUCGUGCGCUUCUCCCAUCUUGGAUUCGGAUAUUCAAUCUCCCAUCUUACCUCUAAAUCUCAUUCUCUCUUUUAUUUCUCUUCCUUUCUUCUCAUUAUCGGGUUCUUAGAUCAGAUCUAGAGCUACAGAUCAGUAGGGCCGACAACCUGGGGAUGUGGUCAUUAACGAUGGGCAAUCAAGGACCCUAAUCAAUGGUCAGUGGUUAACGGCCAAGAAAAUUGUUGUCCUGCAUCUUUUUUUUUUUUUUAGUUUGGAUGUCCAGCAUCUGAUCCGAAGAUCAUUCCAACGGAUCGAGGGUAUUCUCUUUUUCUCAACGGUGAGCAUCAAGGACCAUAGCUCGUUCUCUUCGAGGCACUCGAAGAGCUUAUAACACAACCCAAAUGGGAGGUUUGUUGUGGUUUGUGGGGAUGGAGAAUACAUUAUAUAUACAGCUUUGGCCUGGAGAAAUAGAUCCUUUGGUUCAACAUUGGAAUUUGUUUGGUCAUUAGAUGGAGAAUAUGCAGUUAGGGAAAGUAUAUCAAGGAUUAAGAUUUUUGAGAUAACAUAUAACAAUGGUGAAGGUUGUUGCUAUUCUUAAUAGCAAGGAGGGAGUUAGUGGCACUGUGUACUUCACUUAGGAAGGACAUGUCCCAACUACAGUGACCGGAAGCCUCUAUGGUCUUAAACCUGGGCUUCAUGGCUUCCAUGUCCAUGCUCUUGGUGACACAACAAAUGCCAAUGGUCCUGUGUGCAAUGGGAAGAAGUCUGAUGUUAUUUUUUAAUGGAGAAGAGUAAUAAU